AACUUUCGACAAUGGAUCACUUGGCUCUCGCAUCGAUGAAGAACGCAGCGAAAUGCGAUAAGUAAUCUGAAUUGCAGAAUUCAGUGAGUCAUCGAAUCUUUGAACGCAGAUUGCGCCCUUUGGUAUUCCGAAGGGCAUGCCUGUUCGAGCGUCAUUAUCAACCAUCAAGCCUAGCUUGUAGUUGGACCUCUUUUUGCGACUGAAAUAUGCCGCAGGUCCGAAAGAUAAUGACGGUGUCGUGUUUGACCCUAGAUGCAACGAGCUUUUUUAUAGCACGCAUUGAAGUGGUCGAACCGACCCGGUCUUAACCAUCAUUUUUUCUUAAGAUUGACCUCGGAUCAGGUAGGAAUACCCGCUGAACUUAAGCAUAUCAAUAAGCGGAGGCU
rnacentral:misc_RNA from 1 species